GUCUAUAUGGAGGUAUUUAUAGUCUAGCCUGCUCACUGACAUCAAGAUGUUAAAGAGCCGCGGUAUUUUGACCGUGCAAAGGUAGCAUAAUCACUAGUUCUUUAAUUGGGAACUUGUAUGAAAGGUUGGACAAGAGAAAAACUGUCUUUGUAAUAAAAAUUGAAAUUAACUUUUAAGUGAAAAGGCUUAAAUUUUUCAGGGGGACGAUAAGACCCUAUAAAGCUUUAUAUGUAAGUAGAUUUGGUUAAACUAAUUUAUAAAAAUCUAAUCUAUGAGGCAUAUUUGGUUGGGGCGACAUAGGUAUAAUUAAUAGUAACUGCUUUAUUUUAUAACAAAUGUAUUUGAGUUUAUAUUAAUAGAUCCUUUUUUAAGAUUUGAAGACUAAGUUACUUUAGGGAUAACAGCGUAAUUUUUUUUGAGAGUUCAUAUCGAAGAAAAAGUUUGCGACCUCGAUGUUGAAUUAAAAUUUCUAUAUAGUGCAGCAGCUAUAUGAAGAAGGUCUGUUCGACCUUUAAAUUUUU
rnacentral:rRNA from 1 species